rnacentral:misc_RNA from 1 species
GAAAUGCGAUAAGUAGUGUGAAUUGCAGAAUUCAGUGAAUUAUUGAAUCUUUGAACGCAUAUUGCGCCCUUUGGUAUUCCUUAGGGCAUGCCUGUUUGAGCGUCAUCUAAACCUUCAAGCACUGCUUGGUGUUGGGUGCCUGUCCCGCCCCUGCGCGUGGACUCACCUUAAAUCUAUUGGCGGCCCUUAUGUUGGCUUUGAGCGCAGCAGAAACGCGAACUCGAGGCCCGUCGGAGCGGCUUCUAGAAGCUACAUUCACUAUUUUGACCUUGGAUUAGGUAGGGAUACCUGCUGAACUUAA